GGGAAACCAAGCAUAAAACCAAGAAAACCAUCUUUGACUCUCUUAUUCUCUAACUUAAUAAAGAUACAUGAUUUCAAGCUAAUUCUAAGCCAUAAAGGGUGUGAUUUAAUAUCAAAAUUAAGUAUGAAAAUAACUGUUUUUCAACCGUUAUCAAAGACACAACAAAAACUACCUAGAAAACAAAAAAUUUAACACAGAAAACAUAAACUAAUAACGAAAAAUCAGAAUCUCCCCCAAUAGACCACACUUAAACUACACAAUGUCCUCAGGGUGUCACAAUCAUCAAAUCAGAAAUCAAAAUAGUCUACAGAUCAUGGAAAAGUGCAAUAAAAGCGGGAAAGGAAGGAGAAGGGAAAAGAAAACUACCCUGGUCAUGGUGGCAGUUUCCAAAUUUGGACUUUCAGGGAGAUGUUCUCCACCAUCGGAUUCAGCAAGGAGGUGUUGAGGAGCAACUGCUUCAUCCUCCAAAUUUGAUCAAUAGGGAGAUGUCCUCCACAGCUGGAUCUAAGAAGCAGUGAUUGUUGAUGAACGGGUUCAGCUGGAGCCUAUUGAUGUUGAAGCUCUUGCAUAUG
rnacentral:lncRNA from 1 species